rnacentral:rRNA from 1 species
NUUUCCGUAGGUGAACUUGCGGAAGGAUCAUUG